CCUACGGGUCGCAGCAGUGGGGAAUUUUGGACAAUGGGGGCAACCCUGAUCCAGCAAUGCCGCGUGAGUGAAGAAGGCCUUCGGGUUGUAAAGCUCUUUUGUGGAACGUUCGGUACCUGAAGAAUAAGCACCGGCUAACUACGUGCCAGCAGCCGCGGUAAUACGUAGGGUGCAAGCGUUAAUCGGAAUUACUGGGCGUAAAGCGUGCGCAGGCGGUUGUGUAAGUCAGAUGUGAAAUCCCCGGGCUCAACCUGGGAAUUGCAUUUGAGACUGCACGGCUAGAGUGUGUCAGAGGGGGGUAGAAUUCCACGUGUAGCAGUGAAAUGCGUAGAUAUGUGGAGGAAUACCGAUGGCGAAGGCAGCCCCCUGGGAUAAACUGACGCUCAUGCACGAAAGCGUGGGGAGCAAACAGGAUUAGAUACCCUUGUAGUC
rnacentral:rRNA from 1 species